AGUGAACGCUGGCGGUAGGCCUAACACAUGCAAGUCGAACGGCAGCACAGUAAGAGCUUGCUCUUACGGGUGGCGAGUGGCGGACGGGUGAGGAAUACAUCGGCAUCUACUUUUUCGUGGGGGAUAACGUAGGGAAACUUACGCUAAUACCGCAUACGACCUACGGGUGAAAGCAGGGGAUCUUCGGACCUUGCGCGAUUGAAUGAGCCGAUGUCGGAUUAGCUAGUUGGCGGGGUAAAGGCCCACCAAGGCGACGAUCCGUAGCUGGUCUGAGAGGAUGAUCAGCCACACUGGAACUGAGACACGGUCCAGACUCCUACGGGAGGCAGCAGUGGGGAAUUUUGGACAAUGGGCGAAAGCCUGAUCCAGCCAUGCCGCGUGGGUGAAGAAGGCCUUCGGGUUGUAAAGCCCUUUUGGUGGGAAAGAAAAGCAGCAUGUUAAUACCCCGCUGUGCUGACGGUACCCAAAGAAUAAGCACCGGCUAACUUCGUG
rnacentral:rRNA from 1 species